rnacentral:lncRNA from 1 species
UUUUUAACCAUCUCUUUUUAUUCUAUUUCUCUUUCUUCAUAUUUUCAGGCUAACUCCCACGCUCCUUUCCUCAAUUCUCCACGCUUCUAUCUUUUUCUUUCUUCUCUUCAUUUCUUGAUCUUGACAUUUCAUUCUAUUUGACUUUUCCUUUUUCAUUUUCUCUCUCUACGGUCAACCAAAACCUUCGGUGAAAAUUCAUUUGAAGCUACCUUUUUCGCCUCUUCUUGUGAAAAUCGUACUACAACUUCAAUUUUUGCUUCUCUAAUGGGUAAUUUCUCUAUCUGAAUGAGUAAUUUCACUUUCACUAUAAUAGAGGGUAUGUACUCCAUCUAAUUUCUUGGCAUUAAUGUCGUGUCAUGGUGAUAUUGAAAUUCCUUGAUUCAUCAAAUAUGGUUCGAGUGUCCGGCCUUGAAAGCUUAUGUCCCAUGAUGGUUGUGACAACAUAUUUCUUCUUUGGUUCUAUAGCAUACAUCCUUGUGAGUUUUAGAUUUUUUAUAUAUUCUUUUCACUCCUUCCCGAUAGUGUGAUAAUUGAGUGAUUCAAGUUCUCUAGAUAAUUUUAUAUCGCAAGGUUUUUAUUGAUCUGUAAUGGAAAUGGAAAGUGUAAUGAAAUUGACAAUGGAUCAAACACCGAGGAAGAGACCAGGUUUGGUUUGGGAUGUUUUACCUCUAGAACCUCCCAAGGUAUUUUCAAAUAUGAUGUUUUGUUUUAAAAAAAAAAUCAA